CUGGCGGGAGAGACUGCGCCUACCCGGGAGGGGCCAGGAGGUGCCCUGGGCCAGCCAUUACCCCCCACCGGGUGCCCUGACCACGGCGGGCGACACUGGUCUCCAAGGCCCAGUGACUUCCCACAGGCAUGUAAUUUGGCCCGAUUUACCGGGAAGUCGCAUAAACACGAGCCACUUGCAUUUCUUCCAGUAGCUGCCCUGGGCUCCACGGGGGGCCCCCUCUCUCUUUCCUGCUGGGGAGCAACGGUUUGGUCUGGCUCUGGAAUUUUCGAUGACUACCACAGCCUCAUUCCGUGAGGGGACACGAAGCGGGCUGGGCUGUGGUUGCAGGCCCCCAGGACGGCGAGGACCCCUGCCUCCGAGGCGCUGUGUUGCAGGUCUCUGGCAAGGGAGGCUCUGGGCUGCAUCCGAGAACAGCUGGAGUCCUCCGUGGAGCUUCCCCGCACGCCGGCCUCCCGCCAGCUUCCCCAGCGCCUUGCGGCAAGGCUGAGCUCCAGGUUGUGCUGUUUCCAGAGCCAGCUCCCCUGUAACACUCUGCGGCAGGUUUGGAGAGAGCUGAAAGCUUGCCUUGGAAGCAGAAGUCCUGAAGAGCUGUCUUCACAUGUGGCCUUCUCACUGUGGGGGUUUGGCUGAGCGCAAAGAUGGCCGUGUCCCACCUUGGACUACCUGGUGCGGAGACCUGGCUCUGUUUCCAGGUCCAGCUUUCUACUAAUGCAGACUCUGGGAGGCAGCAGGUGAUGGCUAAAGUAGUUGAGUCCCUGCCACCCAUGUGAGAGA